CCAGGCUCAGCUUGGAUUUUACAUUGAACGAGGAGGUUUCUCAUCUCUUCUGGCCUGUGCAGAGGGGAGUAAAUGGGGCAGAAAUGCCACUGAAUCGGGCAAGGUGUGCUUCUCCCAGCCUUGAGACGCUGCAGAAGUCCCUCCAUGCAAGAUCCGUGGGGUUGAGGCUCCAUGGGUGUGAAGGGUGGUUGAGGGAUGUGUCACACUAUUCUCUGCAGAGUGCAGCCUGUGCAGGAACCACUCCUGGUGGAGUGGACAGCUCUGUACUGCCCCCGGAGAGCACAAUAAGAUCUGACCUGCCUGUUGAGAUUGUAAACUCUUUAGGGCAGCAAUUGUCUCUCACCAUGUGUCUGUGCCGCACCCAGCACAAUGGGGCCACCAACAGGGAGAACAGAAGAGAAGAGAAGAGAAGAGGAGCAUUUGGAGUCAUCUGUUUUCUGUGGCGUGAGCUGUUCUAGCCUUGGUCUCACCCCAAAGAUUAUUGGGGUGUUUUGUGCAUGUGGAAAGUUUCUUCAGCCGCUUUCAACUUAUGCCUCCCAAUAAAAGUUU